rnacentral:lncRNA from 1 species
AUGAUGUCAUCAAGCUCUUUCCACCCAGACCCCCGGGGAUGUGCCUGGGUGCAGGGUGGCAGCCAGGCCCGGCCUGGCAACCUGUCCUGGGAAGGCAGCAGAGCCAUGCUCAGGCCGGCCUUCACCGCCGCCCUGCUUUCCGUGGCCCCUCUGCUCUCUGCCGACCUCGGCUUCGGAGACUGGUCCCCCUGGAGCAGGCUCGGCCGGGAUGAUCUCCCCCAGGACCCAGAGGCUGGGUACACGGUACUGCAGCCCUCCCACCUGCUGUGCCCCCUGCACUGGCUGUGCCCUGCCUUCGCUCAGCUGCAGCUAACGCCGGAGUCCCUGGAGCUGUUUCACACCUACAGCCAAGCCCUGUGGCCCUUCUGCGGGGUUUUGCUUGCGUCCUGGCUCUGGCACAAAGUCAGGAGACGCUGGAGAUGUGUAAGUGAGCGUGGUCACAGGCAGGGUGGUGCUGGGCCACUGGGAACGGGGAACUGCCAAGGCUUUGGGCCAAAGCCCCUUAAACCAAGGAAUAAAAACCAAAAAAAGCCUCAGCAGAACGCCAAGGGUGCUCCACAUCUUCUGCGGGUCUUUUCCGACCUCCCCAGGAGGCAGAGGUCGGUCUCAGGUUUGGAGGGGGAAACGAGGACAUGCUGCCCUGCAGGGAUUGAACCCACCAGCAAGAAAAUACGGGGGCCACCUCAGGUUUUCUUCACAUGUCCUGCUGCCUGCGGCAGGCCAGUGAGGCUGGAGUUUCAGGAGAAGACGCCGAGACCAUCCCGACGGGGCUCGGUCCCCCAAGGCCCCUGCUCAUUUCUUUGUCCCCCCUUGCUCUGUUAUUUCCAGGAGAAGCUCCGGCCAGCCUUGGUGUCUGUGGGGACCGACUGCCAGGAGUUCACGUGCUGCAGCCACGAGGCCCUCCACCGCCUGGCAGCAAGCACGGCCCUGAUGAGGAGCUACCUGCGGCGCCUCCGCCGCCUCCACUGGCAGGAGAGCGGGCAGAGGCUGCACGGGAGGAGGCCGGAGCGGAGCACGAAAAGGCAGAGAAAGGUGGAAGAUGAGCAAGAGGAGGAGAGGCUCAUGUCUGCCUGUCUGUACAACCCCAGCUACAGCGGGGCUGCGGGCGUGCUGUGUGAUUAA